ACUACGGGUGGCAGCAGUGAGGAAUAUUGGUCAAUGGACGAGAGUCUGAACCAGCCAAGUAGCGUGAAGGAUGACUGCCCUAUGGGUUGUAAACUUCUUUUAUAUGGGAAUAAAAUGUUCCACGUGUGGGAUUUUGUAUGUACCAUAUGAAUAAGGAUCGGCUAACUCCGUGCCAGCAGCCGCGGUAAUACGGAGGAUACGAGCGUUAUCCGGAUUUAUUGGGGUUAAAGGGAGCGUAGGUGGAUUGUUAAGUCAGUUGUGAAAGUUUGCGGCUCAACCGUAAAAUUGCAGUUGAAACUGGCAGUCUUUAUUACAGUAGAGGUGGGCGGAAGUCGUGGUGUAGCGGUGAAAGGCGUAGAUAUCACGAAGAACUCCGAUUGCGAAGGCAGUUCACUGGACUGCAACUGACACUGAGGCUCGAAAGUGUGGGUAUCAAACAGGAUUAGAUACCCCAGUAGUC
rnacentral:rRNA from 1 species